rnacentral:sRNA from 1 species
GAAGUGUGAACCAAGUUGCUGCGCGAGCGACGUGAGGCUUGGAGUUGGCGUCCGCAAGAACGCCAUGCA